AUUAUUGGGCGUAAGCGCGCGCAGGUGGUUUCUUAAGUCUGAUGUGAAAGCCCACGGCUCAACCGUGGAGGGUCAUUGGAAACUGGGAGACUUGAGUGCAGAAGAGGAAAGUGGAAUUCCAUGUGUAGCGGUGAAAUGCGUAGAGAUAUGGAGGAACACCAGUGGCGAAGGCGACUUUCUGGUCUGUAACUGACACUGAGGCGCGAAAGCGUGGGGAGCAAACAGGAUUAGAUACCCUGGUAGUCCACGCCGUAAACGAUGAGUGCUAAGUGUUAGAGGGUUUCCGCCCUUUAGUGCUGAAGUUAACGCAUUAAGCACUCCGCCUGGGGAGUACGGCCGCAAGGCUGAUACUC
rnacentral:rRNA from 1 species